AAAGGUUUCAACAUAUGAAUUUGAUUCAUGUUGGGAUUACAGGCAUAAGCCACUGCGCCCGGCCUCAAAAGUCUCUUAAGGCGGGAUUCUGGGAUUACCUGCAUUCAGGGGUCCUGCAAUGUGUGUGUGUGUUCCCCAGGACCAGGCUGUUUCUGCUGCACAUUGAGAUCGGAGAGCCAUCUUCUCCAUGCAUUGGUGACCAGGAGGCCCUCUCUGUGGCUCUGCUUGGGGCUGGUUCUCGAUUUCUUUGGGAAGCCAGGGAGGAGUCUGUUGAGAUUGACCAAGAGCGAGUUGAAGAGUCAGUUGAACAGUGUUCCUGGCUGAGGACUCUCCUGUAUGCCUGUUGAAUAGGGGACCUGAGCUGCUGUUCUCCAGGGAGAGAAAAGCUGUGAGUCCAGGGCAAUUGGGAGAACAGGACCCUGGCCAAUUCUUGCAAUGUAGACAUGCCUUAGAAAGAAUCCCCAUACACCCAAUUCGUUACUUGUUUUUCUUUACCCUGACACUCAUGCUGUGCAUGUACAUGUUGAAGAAUGAGUCAGAUGACCUUUAUUUCCUUGUAGGUCUGUUUGUAACACAUGCCAAGUUUAGACAAAGACUUUGGAGUUUUGGGUGCAAGUGGCUAGACUUGUCUCCUGGCCAGCUCUGUCAUUAGUCAAGCAAGCAGACAAUGUGGAGGUGAAAGGAAAAUGGGGUGCAGUGAAAACCAAAUGAGGCUCUGCAGCAGAAGCAGCUCUAGGUGGCUGGGCAUGGUGGCUCACACCUGUGAUCCCAGCACUUUGGGAGGCUGAGGCCAGCGGAUCAUGAGGUCAAGAUAUCAAGACCAGCCUGGCCAACAUGGUGAAACCCCAUCUCUACUAAAAAUACAAAAGAUUAGCUGGGCGUGGUGACACGCGCCUGUAGUCCCAGCUACUUGUGAGGCUGAGGCAGGACAAUUACUUGAACCCGGGAGACAGAGGUUACAGUGAGCCAAGAUAGCGCCACUGCCUGGUGACAGAGCGAGACUCCGUCUAAAAAAAAAAAAAAGAAAAAAAAAGAAGCUCCAGGCAUGGGAGCAGAGCUUAUCACUUCUCAAUUUCGUCAUUAACCACCCUCUCUCGACACUUUAAAUAAACCUAAAAUUAUUGUGAAAGAAUAACAUGCUUACUGUGCUACCAACCUUCAAAGUAUGUACUCUGUCCCCAACCCCAGACCUGCUGCUACACACACCCAUACCUUUCAACCACAUUGCUAGCUGGAUGCAGAGGCUCGGGCCUGUAAUCCCAGCACUUUGGGAGGCCAAGGCGAGAGGACCACUUGAGCCCAGGAGUUCAAGACCAGCCUGGGCAACAUAGUGGACCCCAUCUCUACAAAAAAUACAAAAAUUAGCUGGAUGUAGUGGGACACACCUGUAGUCCCAGCUACUCAGGAGGCUGAAAUGAGAGGAUCACUUGAGCCUGAGAAGUCAAGGCUGCAGUGAGCUGUAACUGCACCACUGUACUCCAGCUUGGAUGAUGAGUGAGACCCUGUCUGAAAAAAAAAAAACAUGGCUUAUGCCCCUUCACUACCUACUGCCUAUAAAUUCUGGAGCUGCCACUGCUUUGAAGUAAGUAGAAAGAAAGCCUGCAGGCCGGUUAUGGUGGCUCAUGCCUGUAAUCCCAGCACUUUGGGAGGCUGAGACAGGCAGAUCACUUGAUGUCAGGAGUUCGAGACCAGCCUGGCCAACGUGGGGAAACCCUGUCUCUACUAAAAAUAGAAAAAAUUAGCCUGGCAUAGUGGUAGGUGCUUGUAAUCCCAGCUACUCAGAAGGCUGAGGCAGAAGAAUUGCUUGAACCCAGGAGGUGGAGGUUGCAAUGAGUCAAGAUAAAAUACAAAAAAUUAGCCUGGCGUGGUGGUGGGCGCCUAUAAUCCCAACUACUCAGAUGGCUGAGGCAGGAGAAUCGCUUGAACCCAGGAGGUGAAGGUUGCAGUGAGCCGAGAUCGCACCACUGCCCUCCAGCCUGGGUGACAGAGUGAGACUCCGUCUCAAAAAAAAAAAAAAAAAAAAAAAGCUUGCAGCAUCUGGUUUUUCAAGACCAUCUCCCCAUCAAACACAGUAUAAUGUAGUAGCCAAGAAAGCAGUAUCUGGAGACUGACUGGGUUUGAAACCCAGCUCUACCAUAUACUAGCCUUGUGUGGUCUUGUGUAACUCACUUGCACAAAGUCUCAAAGCUUCAGCUUUCCUUUUCAUAAAAUGGAGAUGAUACUAAUACCUACCCACCUCUUGUAGUUGUUGGGAAGAUUAAAUACAAGUGUAGAUACCUUAAUCCAUUUGUUCUACUAUACCAAAAUGCCUGAGAUUGGGUAAUUUAUAAAUAAUAGAAAUUUAUUUCUCACAGCUCUGGAAGCUGGAGAGUCCAAGCUCAAGGCACCGGCAGGGUUGGUGUCUGGUGAGAGCCUGGUCUUUGCUUCUAAAGUGGCACCUUGCUGCUGCAUCCCCCAGAGGGAAUGAACACUCUGUCCUCACACAGCAGAAGGGCGGGAAGUGGAAGAAAGGGCCUGAGCUGGGUCCCCCGAGCCCUUCUACAAGGCACUAAUGCCAUUGAUAAGGGCAGACCCCUCAUGGCCUAAUCAUCUCCUAAAGGCCUCCCUUAUACCACCACAAUGGGGACUAAGUUUCAGCACAUGACUUUUGGGGGCAUUCAGAUCAUAGCUCUAAGUAAAAUGUUUGAAACAGUUCUUCGGCAAUAAGCGUAAUCUGUCAUUACUACCCCUACUAACUGGGACAAACCCUGCUUGGCUUCUGAGAGAAAAUGAGAUCGGAUGCCUUCAGGGUGGUUGGUACAGCCAUAGGCAUUUGCAUCCUUCACUCACAAACGGCCUCGGCCAGCUGCUCGACAUUAUAUUGUGGCGCAUUGCUGCAGCACCCCACUCACAGAUAUCUGCCACCUUUCAAGUUCAGCUGUGCCAUGGCAGAAAUCACAACUCUUCCCUCCUCCCUUCCUCCCAUCAAUAAAAUGGAAUUAUUCAGCGUGAGGUAGAAAAUAGAUUUUUUUUUUUUUUUGAGAUGUAGUCUCGCUCUGUCAC
rnacentral:lncRNA from 1 species